GACGGAGGGUGCAAGCGUUGUUCGGAAUUACUGGGCGUAAAGGGCGCGUAGGCGGUCUGUUAAGUUCGGUGUGAAAGCCCCCGGCUCACCUGGGGAACUGCGCCGGAAACCGACAGACUCGAGUACCGGAGAGGAGGGUGGAAUUCCUGGUGUAGCGGUGAAAUGCGUAGAUAUCAGGAGGAACACCGGUGGCGAAGGCGGCUUUCUGGACAGUAACUGACGCUGAGGCGCGAAAGCUAGGGGAGCAAACAGG
rnacentral:rRNA from 1 species